rnacentral:rRNA from 1 species
GACGCCUGCCCGGUGCCCGAAGGUUAAAGGGAGGGGUCAGCCGCAAGGCGAAGCUCUGAACUGAAGCCCGGGUAAACGGCGGCCGUAACUAUAACGGUCCUAAGGUAGCGAAAUUCCUUGUCGGGUAAGUUCCGACCUGCACGAAUGGCGUAACGACUUUCCCAACUGUCUCAACCACGAACUCGGCGAAAUUGCAUUACGAGUAAAGAUGCUCGUUACGCGCAGCAGGACGGAAAGACCCCGUGACCUUUACUACAGCUUGGUAUUGGUGUUCGGUGUGGCUUGUGUAGGAUAGGUGGGAGACUGUGAAGCAGACACGCCAGUGUUUGUGGAGUCGUUGUUGAAAUACCACUCUGGUCACUCUGGAUGUCUAACUUCGAACCGUAAUCCGGUUCAGGGACAGUGCCUGGUGGGUAGUUUAACUGGGGCGGUUGCCUCCCAAAAUGUAACGGAGGCGCCCAAAGGUUCCCUCAACCUGGUUGGCAAUCAGGUGGCGAGUGUAAGUGCACAAGGGAGCUUGACUGUGAGACUGACAGGUCGAGCAGGGACGAAAGUCGGGACUAGUGAUCCGGCAGUGGCUUGUGGAAGCGCUGUCGCUCAACGGAUAAAAGGUACCUCGGGGAUAACAGGCUGAUCUUGCCCAAGAGUCCAUAUCGACGGCAUGGUUUGGCACCUCGAUGUCGGCUCGUCGCAUCCUGGGGCUGGAGUAGGUCCCAAGGGUUGGGCUGUUCGCCCAUUAAAGCGGUACGCGAGCUGGGUUUAGAACGUCGUGAGACAGUUCGGUCCCUAUCCGCUGCGCGCGUAGGAAGUUUGAGAGGAUCUGACCCUAGUACGAGAGGACCGGGUUGGACGAACCUCUGGUGUGUCAGUUGUUCCGCCAGGAGCACCGCUGAUUAGCUACGUUCGGGAUGGAUAACCGCUGAAAGCAUCUAAGCGGGAAGCCGGCCUCAAGAUGAGACUUCCAUGCCUACGGGCGAGAGGCUCCCAGCAGACUACUGGGUUGAUAGGCCAGAUGUGGAAGCGUGGUAACACGUGCAGCUGACUGGUACUAAUAAGCCGAUGACUUGAUAACACACC